UGGGGAAUAUUGCACAAUGGGCGAAAGCCUGAUGCAGCGACGCCGCGUGAGGGACGAAGGUCUUCGGAUUGUAAACCUCUUUCAGCAGGGACGAAGCGAAAGUGACUGUACCUGCAGAAGAAGCACCGGCUACCUACGUGCCAGCAGCCGCGGUAAUACGUAGGGUGCAAGCGUUGUCCGGAUUUAUUGGGCGUAAAGAGCUCGUAGGCGGUUCGUCACGUCGGAUGUGAAAACCUGGGGCUUAACCCCGGGUCUGCAUACGAUACGGGCGAACUAUAGUUCGGUAGGGGAGACUGGAAUUCCUGGGGUAGCGGUGAAAUGCGCAGAUAUCAGGAGGAACACCGGUGGCGAAGGCGGGUCUCUGGGCCGAUACUGACGCUGAGGAGCGAAAGCGUGGGGAGCAAACA
rnacentral:rRNA from 1 species